GACGAACGCUGGCGGCGUGCCUAAUACAUGCAAGUAGAACGCUGAAGAGAGGAGCUUGCUCUUCUUGGAUGAGUUGCGAACGGGUGAGUAACGCGUAGGUAACCUGCCUUGUAGCGGGGGAUAACUAUUGGAAACGAUAGCUAAUACCGCAUAACAAUGGAUGACCAUGUCAUUUAUUUGAAAGGGGCAAAUGCUCCACUACAAGAUGGACCUGCGUUGUAUUAGCUAGUAGGUGAGGUAACGGCUCACCUAGGCGACGAUACAUAGCCGACCUGAGAGGGUGAUCGGCCACACUGGGACUGAGACACGGCCCAGACUCCUACGGGAGGCAGCAGUAGGGAAUCUUCGGCAAUGGGGGCAACCCUGACCGAGCAACGCCGCGUGAGUGAAGAAGGUUUUCGGAUCGUAAAGCUCUGUUGUAAGUCAAGAACGAGUGUGAGAGUGGAAAGUUCACACUGUGACGGUAGCUUACCAGAAAGGGACGGCUAACUACGUGCCAGCAGCCGCGGUAAUACGUAGGUCCCGAGCGUUGUCCGGAUUUAUUGGGCGUAAAGCGAGCGCAGGCGGUUUGAUAAGUCUGAAGUUAAAGGCUGUGGCUCAACCAUAGUUCGCUUUGGAAACUGUCAAACUUGAGUGCAGAAGGGGAGAGUGGAAUUCCAUGUGUAGCGGUGAAAUGCGUAGAUAUAUGGAGGAACACCGGUGGCGAAAGCGGCUCUCUGGUCUGUAACUGACGCUGAGGCUCGAAAGCGUGGGGAGCGAACAGGAUUAGAUACCCUGGUAGUCCACGCCGUAAACGAUGAGUGCUAGGUGUUGGAUCCUUUCCGGGAUUCAGUGCCGCAGCUAACGCAUUAAGCACUCCGCCUGGGGAGUACGACCGCAAGGUUGAAACUCAAAGGGAUUGACGGGGGCCCGCACAAGCGGUGGAGCAUGUGGUUUAAUUCGAAGCAACGCGAAGAACCUUACCAGGUCUUGACAUCCCGAUGCUAUUUCUAGAGAUAGAAAGUUACUUCGGUACAUCGGUGACAGGUGGUGCAUGGUUGUCGUCAGCUCGUGUCGUGAGAUGUUGGGUUAAGUCCCGCAACGAGCGCAACCCCUAUUGUUAGUUGCCAUCAUUCAGUUGGGCACUCUAGCGAGACUGCCGGUAAUAAACCGGAGGAAGGUGGGGAUGACGUCAAAUCAUCAUGCCCCUUAUGACCUGGGCUACACACGUGCUACAAUGGUUGGUACAACGAGUUGCGAGUCGGUGACGGCAAGCUAAUCUCUUAAAGCCAAUCUCAGUUCGGAUUGUAGGCUGCAACUCGCCUACAUGAAGUCGGAAUCGCUAGUAAUCGCGGAUCAGCACGCCGCGGUGAAAAAGUUCCCGGGCCU
rnacentral:rRNA from 1 species